UCGAGAAUUUUUCUCAAUGGGCGAAAGCCUGAAGGAGCGACGCCGCGUGGGGGAUGAAGGGUUUCGAUCCGUAAACCCCUGUCAUUUGUGAACAAUGUUCAUCCAUGAACAGUGGAUGAAUUGAUAGUAGCGAAAGAGGAAGGGACGGCUAACUCUGUGCCAGCAGCCGCGGUAAUACAGAGGUCCCAAGCGUUGUUCGGAUUCACUGGGCGUAAAGGGCGCGUAGGUGGCGGGGUAAGUUUGAUGUGAAAUCUCCGGGCUUAACCCGGAAAUGGCAUUGAAUACUAUCCGGCUCGAGGGUUGGAGGGGGGACUGGAAUUCUCGGUGUAGCAGUGAAAUGCGUAGAUAUCGAGAGGAACACCGGUGGCGAAGGCGAGUCCCUGGACAACACCUGACACUGAGGCGCGAAAGCUAGGGGAGCAAACAGGAUUAGAUACCCCCGUAGUCC
rnacentral:rRNA from 1 species